rnacentral:rRNA from 1 species
CCUACGGGUGGCAGCAGUGAGGAAUAUUGGUCAAUGGGCGAUAGGCUGAACCAGCCAAGUCGCGUGAAGGAAGAAUGUCCUAUGGAUUGUAAACCUCUUUUGUCAGGGAGCAAAGUCACCCACGUGUGGGGGUUGGAGAGUACCUGAAGAAAAAGCAUCGGCUAACUCCGUGCCAGCAGCCGCGGUAAUACGGAGGAUGCGAGCGUUAUCCGGAUUUCUUGGGUUUAAAGGGUGCGUAGGCGGGUUAUCAAGUCAGCGGUAAAAUCGUGGAGCUCAACUUCAUCCAGCCGUUGAUACUGAUGAUCUUGAGUGGGCGAGAAGUAUGCGGAAUGCGGGGUGUAGCGGUGAAAUGCAUAGAUAUCACGCAGAACUCCGAUUGAGAAGGCAGCAUACCGGAGCCCGACUGACGCUGAAGCACGAAAGAGUGGGUAUCGAACAGGAUUAGAUACCCUUGUAGUC